rnacentral:rRNA from 1 species
GACGAACGCUGGCGGCGUGCCUAAUACAUGCAAGUUGAGCGAUGACGCUUGGUGCUUGCACCAAUUUGAAGAGCAGCGAACGGGUGAGUAACGCGUGGGGAAUCUGCCUUUGAGCGGGGGACAACAUUUGGAAACGACUGAUACUACCGCAUAACAACUUUAAACAUAAGAUUUAAGUUUGAAAGAUGCAAUUGCAUCACUCAAAGAUGAUCCUGCGUUGGAUUAGCUAGUUGGUGAGGUAAAGGCUCACCAAGGCGAUGAUACAUAGCCGACCUGAGAGGGUGAUCGGCCACAUUGGGACUGGGACACGGCCCAAACUCCUACGGGAGGCAGCAGUAGGGAAUCUUCGGCAAUGGAGGAAAGUCUGACCGAGCAACGCCGGGUGAGUGAAGAAGGGUUUCGGAUCGGAAAACUCUGUUUGUAGAGAAGAACGAUGGGGAGAGUGGAAAGCUCAUCAAGUGACGGUAACUACCCAGAAAGGGACGGCUAACUACGUG